rnacentral:lncRNA from 1 species
UUUUAAUAUGUUGUUUGUAAGUUGCCUCCCGAAUUGGGCUGAACAACUCCUAUCAUUUUUUUUAUUUUUUUUUUGUUUUCUUACGGUUAAAUUCUUUCACCAAUCAUUUUCUUGAAACUUCGAAUUCGAUCCGGCCACCAUUUAUACACCGAUGCAACGAACCACUGGCCACGUAUUCUACUGACAUGGAAGAAUGUACACGUGUACGGUAUGAAUCAAACCACCUUGCCAAUUCUCUGGAUAUGGAAAGCGAGGAUCUAGGACAGGACAGGACAAUGUCAAAAGCCA